UACGGGGGGGGCAAGCGUUGUUCGGAAUUACUGGGCGUAAAGGGCUCGUAGGUGGCCAACUAAGUCAGACGUGAAAUCCCUCAGCUUAACUGGGGAACUGCGUCUGAUACUGGCAGGCUUGAAUUCGGGAGAGGGAUGCGGAAUUCCAGGUGUAGCGGUGAAAUGCGUAGAUAUCUGGAGGAACACCGGUGGCGAAGGCGGCAUCCUGGACCGAGAUUGACGCUGAGGCGCGAAAGCCAGGGGAGCAAACGGG
rnacentral:rRNA from 1 species